rnacentral:rRNA from 1 species
AGCAGCAGCCACGGGAAAACCAGCACCUCGAGUGGUCAGGAGGUUUAUUGGGCCUAAAGCAUCCGUAGCCGGUUGCAUAAGUUUUCGGUUAAAUCUAUGCGCUUAACGUAUAGGCCGCCGAAAAUACUGUGCAGCUAGGGAGUGGGAGAGGUACACGGUACUCGAUAGGAAGGGGUAAAAUCCUUUGAUCUAUUGAUGACCACCUGUGGCGAAGGCGGUGUACCAGAACACGUUCAACGGUGAGGGAUGAAAGCUGGGGGAGCAAACCGGAUUAGAUACCCGCGUAGUCCCUGUCUCUUAUAC